UACGUAGGGUGCGAGCGUUAAUCGGAAUUACUGGGCGUAAAGCGUGCGCAGGCGGUUUUGUAAGCCAGAUGUGAAAUCCCCGGGCUUAACCUGGGAAUGGCAUUUGGGACUGCAUUGCUGGAGUACGGAAGAGGAAGGCGGAAUUCCCGGUGUAGCGGUGAAAUGCGUAGAUAUCGGGAGGAACAUCAGUGGCGAAGGCGGCCUUCUGGUCCAGUACUGACACUCAAGUGCGAAAGCGUGGGGAGCAAACAGG
rnacentral:rRNA from 1 species